GACUUUGCUCAGGGGGCAAUGUACAGGUUCUCUCUCCUGCCCUGGAGUUGGAGCUUCCGGGCUCCUUCUAUCACGCUUCCAUUAGCCAAGAGGCCGCAAAUCUGUAUAACAGGAGCCUGGAAAUAAGGAAAUCACAAGCAGCCAUCCUCGCCGCGGCGUCUCUGUCCCUCUCCCUAAGGCCUGCACCGCCCUCUUAGGUACCACGGAUUUAUGUUCGUUUGUCCGGGUCAUUCUGCCUUUUUGUGUUAAUUACGCGCUGCCUGCUUCGUGCUUAUCACCUCCGCAAAGCGAUUCUUUUCGACGCCCGCCCUCUUGAGCCUCCCGAGCCUGCUGCCAGCGCGAGGGCCCAUCUCCCGCCACCACUCACGAUUUAUUUACACCUCGCAGAGACACUGUACGAGAGAACUGCCGCGAUCUUCCCCCCUAUUCAGGUGCAUUUCUGGGCUGGGAACACCUCCGCACAUUCAGAUGCACUUCCCGAAGCUCCCGCGACCACCUGCCCACGGCGCGCACCCUAAAAUCCUCGAUCCUCUUACCCUGCUGCUGCUUCCGAACAGCCUAUUCCGCCGCCGCCCGCAGGACUUUGGGGUGGGACUCUGACUUCUCCCGGUUGUUGGUCCCCUGGUUUGUAGCCCAUCCCUCUCUCACGAGCGCUCUCUCCACCUCUCCCUCCCAGCCAGUGAGGUCCUGUUUUCCGUGGGCCAUAGACAAAACAUUCCUAUAAU